GUAAAAGCAAAAAUCGCUAGCGCCGCAUAAGUUGUCUUCCUCAUCCAGAUUCCAAAAAGAAAAAAAAGGUGUGAAAUUAUCUUCUUCUUUGAUUUUCUUUUCCUCCAUAGCUCCAUUAGCUCCAUAACACAUUAAACUCAUGACUGUCGACCACAUCCAUAGCCACCGUUUUUAUCACCUGCGUCGAACAUCGAAAUCCCAUAGCCACCGUUUUUAUCACCUGCGUCGAACAUCGAAAUCCCAUAGUCACCGGAGAUGCAACUCUGAUGCCGGAGGUCUUUCUGCCUCAUUUCCUCUCUCCCUCAUCUCCUUAUUUUUUCAUUUUGGUUCUUUCAUGGAGUAAAUACUAGAUUUGGCCGAGUUUUUUGGUUUUUGGCCGAGAAAUAACAUUUCCGGCAGCCACAUACUAUUGUCGUACAUUUUGGCCGGAGUCACAACCUUCGCCAGUGACCUUAUUGCCUUUCUGGUAGCCCGGUGCUUUGUCUCUGUUUUUGUCAUAUUUUCCGGUGAGCUCCGAGUUUGUCGAGGUCCCCCGGUUCGAGUUUUCCGUUUAGUUGGUGACUCGGGUAGUGUUUGAGUUAUAUCGGUACUCUCUUCCUCGAUGUAUUCAGAGAAAUUCAAUAUUUAAACAAAUUUCAAAGCUUCUGUUCAUUUAAUGAUCAUGGUACUGGACCCGACAGAUCGUAGAUAGAGGUUGCUGCCUUUAGUGUAGUGGAGACCCGAGGUAGUCCUGCAGAUGUCCGUAUGCCUUGGCGCCCCCUUCUAUCCUGCUUCCUUCUGUUUUAUCUAUUUCUGAGAGAGAUUUGUAUUUUUUUGUUCAGACCACUAUUUGUAGUCUUCAUAGACAGUCUGUGAGAUUGUGACACCAGUUCUGAGUGGAGUUUUAUUAUAGUUUCGUAAUUGUACUAAGUUAAACUGUUAAAUUCUGUUCUUCUG